rnacentral:rRNA from 1 species
CCAUAGCGUCUGUGACCCACCCGAUCCCAUCCCGAACUCGGCCGUGAAACCAGUCUGCGCCGAUGGUACUAUUGCUCAAGCACUGGAAGAGUAGGGCGUCGCCAGGC